CAAAAGACAGUGAGACGUCUUUAAGACUUACCUCUUUUGUUUACCUUGUAAUGGCUGCCAUUCACUCCUCUGCUCUACUCAGUCGAAGGAACAUUUUGAGCAAUGCUGUACAUGACUUGUCAAUUCCAAAAUUAGACAGGAUGCAGUGUUAACUAAUAUGCUAAACUAUGCCCAACCACUAAUGUGCCUUUCUUUCUCCUUGGACAUUGGAUGGGACUGCCAAUGAGUGUCUCCCGGAGGGAAGUGAUUCAAGACAAAGACCCAUUCUGCCAGUGAGAUAUGCUGGGAAUACCAACUAACACUUGUUACAGAGUGUGCAUGGCGGCUGCUGACAGGCCUUCCCAGUGCCAGCAAGUGGAUACAGAAGCAAUCUCCCAAGCUUUCCAUGACAUUCAAGUGACCAGGCACUUGGACACCCAUCACUGGGGCUGUGUUCCUACCUUAGCCAGUGCCCACAAGCAGCAGCGGUUCCUCUGGCGUUUUGACCCUGAGAGAAGAUGGAAAACCCUAGGUGCUGGGGAUCAUGGAGAUGCUGGCCCCUUCCAACAGCAGCCUCGCUCUUCUUCCUUUUACCACCAAACCUGGAUGCCUCUCUUCUUCCACACUCUCUGCCCUGUCCUCUUAUCCAUUCUCCUCCUCCUCUCUCUCCCUCCAUUCCCCUUCCCUUCAGAGGUUACCAAUAACUUGCAAUGUUAAUUUCGGUGGUUUUUCACCAUUCAUUAUCUGGUGUUUUGCCCAGGUAAUGAAUCUCUUUUGCUUAUCUUCUCUCUCCUCCAAUUCCUUAGCCCUUAUCUUUCCUUCAUCAAAUCCUUCUCCUCCCCCCGUGGGUACUGAAUAAUUGUCUGCUCUCGGCUCUCUCCUCUCCUUCACACAUUCUCACACAACGGAGUGACCUUUGAUUGGUUUUGUGACCACCCAGCGUCUAUUCCCUGUCUUUUGAUUGCCAAAUCUGUUUGCUUUGGAGGAAUCACCUUUCCUGCUUUAUGUGUCACCUUGUCGGGAAUGGAUGACAAGAUGUCUUUACUUCUUCUAGCCAAGGGGUGGGUGUAUGACCAAGUUCACUGGAUCCCCUCCCAGGACUUUGCAUAGUAGAGGGAAUGGAGAAAGUAGUUGGAGCUGACUCAUCCCUGCUUGAUGAGAUUGUUUGUGAAUUCUUCCCACAUGGGUCUCUAGAACUGCCUUAGUUCCUGUCUGUUCUGAUAGAA
rnacentral:lncRNA from 9 species